CCCUAUGGGGUGCAGCAGGUCGAUCUUGUUCAGGAUCAUGACCUUGGAUUCGGCGAAGAUGAAGGGGUACUUCUCGGGCUUGUCGUCGCCCUCGGUCACACUCAGGAUGGUCACCUUGUAGUCCUCGCCGACGCUGAACUCGGCGGGGCAGACCAGGUUGCCGACGUUCUCCACCACCAGGACGUCGAUGCCGUCCAGGCCCAUGGAUUGUGCGGCGUCGCGGACCAUGGAGCUGUCCAGGUGGCAGCCGCCGGCGGUGUUGAUCUGCACGGCGCGAGCGCCAGGGGCGGUCACGCGGCGGGCGUCGUUCUCGGUCUGGCAGUCGCCUUCGAUGACGGCCAUGGAAAACUCGCCCUUGAGGUCCGUCAGGGUCCGCUCCAGCAGGGUGGUCUUGCCCGAGCCGGGGGAGC
rnacentral:rRNA from 1 species